AGCCUGGGAACUCCUGUCCGAGUCCCUCUUACAAAGAGUUUUGUGGCCAGUCAUGGAGGAGGAUGAAGAGGAGGACUGCUCUUUGGAUGAUAAAUGUAGAGUUGCAGGGUAGUUGAGGAACUUCAUUGAAAAUGCAACCUGCAAUCAGCUCAAGGAUCUCCUCAAGUUU